AUGGGAUCGAUGAUGUUAAUGAAAUACUGCGUUAUCUAUCUGAAAAUUAUUUCAAUUGAAGAUAACUUUGAGUUACUGAGAUCUCAU